GUUGAUAGGCCAGGUGUGGAAGCACGGUGACGUGUGGAGCUGACUGGUACUAAUCGGUCGAGGGCUUGACCUAA
rnacentral:rRNA from 1 species